AUUGAACGCUGGCGGCAGGCCUAACACAUGCAAGUCGAGCGAGCGGCGGACGGGUGAGUACUGUCUGGGAAACUGCCUCCUGGAGGGGGAUAACUACUGGACACGCUAGCUAAUACCGCAUACCAUCAGAUGUGCCCAGAUGGGAUUAGCUGGUAGGUGGGGUAACGGCUCACCUAGGCGACGAUCCCUCGCUGGUCUGAGAGGAUGACCAGCCACACGGGAACUGGGACACGGUCCAGACUCCUACGGGAGGCAGCAGUGGGGAAUAUUGCACAAUGGGGGCAAGCCUGAUGCAGCCAUGCCGCGUGUGUGAAGAAGGCCUUCGGGUUGUAAAGCACUUUCAGCGGGGAGGCGUUACCCGCAGAAGAAGCACCGGCUAACUCCGUGCCAGCAGCCGCGGUAAUUC
rnacentral:rRNA from 1 species